rnacentral:rRNA from 1 species
GAUGAACGCUGGCGGCGUGCCUAAUACAUGCAAGUCGAGCGAACAGACGAGGAGCUUGCUCCUUUGACGUUAGCGGCGGACGGGUGAGUAACACGUGGAUAACCUACCUAUAAGACUGGGAUAACUUCGGGCAACCGGAGCUAAUACCGGAUAACAUGUUGAACCGCAUGGUUCAACAGUGAAAGACGGUCUUGCUGUCACUUAUAGAUGGAUCCGCGCCGCAUUAGCUAGUUGGUAAGGUAACGGCUUACCAAGGCAACGAUGCGUAGCCGACCUGAGAGGGUGAUCGGCCACACUGGAACUGAGACACGGUCCAGACUCCUACGGGAGGCAGCAGUAGGGAAUCUUCCGCAAUGGGCGAAAGCCUGACGGAGCAACGCCGCGUGAGUGAAGAAGGUCUUCGGAUCGUAAAACUCUGUUAUUAGGGAAGAACAAAUGUGUAAGUAACUAUGCACGUCUUGACGGUACCUAAUCAGAAAGCCACGGCUAACUACGUG